CUAAAUGCCGAAGUGUCUGACAAUGGUUCUCCAAAGUUAGUUGAAGUUGAAAAAGGUCUCAUGUUACUUCGAAAUUGUCAGAAAUGGGAAGCCAGAUAACUCCGUGGGAUUGCCUUUAAAAACAUUACAGAAAUCUCCAUUCUGCAAAUCUAAAGAUAAAACUUCAUUUUCUGGACAAGCUGAGCUCUCAUGCAAGAGUGCAAGGUUCAGUCUCAGAAGGGCAGACUUAUAGUAACCGAACUCAUUUGUAAACUGAGCAACCAAGCCCAUUUUUAAGAUCCAGAACCACUGAAGAAACUCAAGCAGUGCUCUUGGCUCUUGGCUCUUAGCUGGUGCACUCUCCCUCUGGGGGCCUACAGGAGGUCCCAAUUAUCAUUAGUGGUUGCUUGGUAAGUUAAAAAAUCUGCAUGUUUUAUGCCCUUGAACUAUAAUCAGCUGGAUGCACCUAUCGCCUCAUAGGUCUACAUUCUGUUGGAACCACAGCAGCCAAGUGCUCAGUGCAGUCGCCCUUUCUCCUUGAUGUGCUGGAUGGUCAUUACCAUAGUCUUGUGGCUGGUUGACCAGCUGUGCUACGU
rnacentral:lncRNA from 1 species